AUUUCUACUAUAAAGAUUCCCAAACCCUCUCGAUCCCUAUUUAUCACUUUCCUAUCCCUCGACCGUAAACAUUAACCAUCACAAGCAUAUAUCAAGAUGGCUUGACAACGUAAUUUUUUUUAAUUCUUUUAUCACCAAUAUUUAGUGGUUAAUUUCUUGGCGCAUUUCACGUGCGUGCUGUCAAAUCGUGCUUAGAUGUCAGCUCGGCCCAGCAAGGACAUCACGGUCUAUAUUACCCUGGACAGGCCGAGGACCGGCCUCUUAUAUUAUCUACUCUUGGCCAAGUAGCAUCUCCGGUUGGUUAAACCUUCGGGAUUAGUAUCCCCGCUCGCUAAAGUUAAAAGUUAAAUGAACCAUUGUUGGACCGUGUGGUCAGUGUCCCCACCUGUGGACGCGUGAAGUGUUGGGAUCCCCGGCUGGACCGUUCCGGGUUAGGCGCUGCUGUAAACGUCCAAGGGCUGCGUACGUCAACUGGAUCCUGGAUCGUUCCGAACAAACUCCCCAUUCGAAUCUCGACGAGACUAUCCAAGCCGUGUGAAUUGCCAGGUGCUGUGAUUAGCGCUUCAGACCGUGGACGACUUGCGGAGAACGGUGGUGGUGCUUAUUCCGUCUCAAUAGUGGACCACAACCGAGCAACUCCAAGAUGUCUGGUGCUAUCAUCGUAGAGCCGGCCACUGGGGUGGUGCGCGGCGUCAUCGACAAAAUGUAAAGCGGAUCGUAAAUCCUUAAUUAUACUUUCCAAACCGUUCCUUUCCAAUUUUGUAAAAGCAAAUGAAAUAAAUUAGUUUUGUGUGAAAUGAACAUAA